UACGGGGGGAGCAAGCGUUGUUCGGAUUUACUGGGCGUAAAGGGCGCGUAGGCGGCGCAACAAGUCACUUGUGAAAUCUCCGGGCUUAACCCGGAGCGGUCAAGUGAUACUGUCGUGCUAGAGUGCGGAAGGGGCUACUGGAAUUCUCGGUGUAGCGGUGAAAUGCGUAGAUAUCAGGAAGAACACCCGUGGCGUAAGGCGGUUCUCUAGUACGGUACUGACGCUGGAGACGCGAAAGCCGUGGGGAGCGAACAGG
rnacentral:rRNA from 1 species